UACGGGGGGUGCGAGCGUUGUCCGGAAUCACUGGGCGUAAAGGGCGCGUAGGCGGCCUGAUAAGUAGGGGGUGAAAUCCUGCGGCUUAACCGCAGGGCUGCCUUCUAAACUGUCAGGCUCGAGCACAGUAGAGGCAGGUGGAAUUCCCGGUGUAGCGGUGGAAUGCGUAGAGAUCGGGAAGAACAUCAGUGGCGAAGGCGGCCUGCUGGGCUGUUGCUGACGCUGAGGCGCGACAGCGUGGGGAGCAAACAGG
rnacentral:rRNA from 1 species